AAUUAAUUAAAAUUAAACAUCUCAUCAUCUUAAAGGCGGAUGUACAUUGGGGUAAAUUAGCACUUGCCCCACCACCCCACUAAAAUUUCAAUAAAAAUAUAUUUAAUAUUUUUUUAUUGUUCUUGCUUAAUUUCAUAUUCGCUACUCCAAAAUACUAUGAUCUAAAUCUUCGAAUCUAUCCUAUAUUCAUUAGGGCAUAUUUUUCAUGUUUAU
rnacentral:misc_RNA from 1 species